rnacentral:rRNA from 1 species
GAAUAUUGCACAAUGUGGGAAACCCUGAUGCAGCGCCGCCGCGCGAGUGAAGCAGUAUUUCGGUAUGUAAAGAUUUCUCAGCAGGGAAGAAAAUGACGGUACCUGACGAAGAAGCCCCGGCUAACUACGUGCAAGCAGCCGCGGACAUACGUAGGGGGCCAGCGUUCUCCGGAUUUACUGGGUGUAAUGGGAGCGUCGGUGGUGCGUCAAGUCAGAUGUGAAAGCCCGGGGCUCAACCCCGGGACUGCAUUUGAAACUGUCGAACUAGAGUGCAGGAGAGGUAAGUGGAAUUCCUAGUGUAGCGGUGAAAUGCGUAGAUAUUAGGAGGAACACCAGUGGCGAAGGCGGCUUACUGGACUGUAACUGACACUGAGGCUCGAAGGCGUGGGGAGCAAACA